rnacentral:rRNA from 1 species
AUUGAACGCUGGCGGCAGGCCUAACACAUGCAAGUCGAACGGUAACAGAAAGCAGCUUGCUGCUUUGCUGACGAGUGGCGGACGGGUGAGUAAUGUCUGGGAAACUGCCUGAUGGAGGGGGAUAACUACUGGAAACGGUAGCUAAUACCGCAUAACGUCGCAAGACCAAAGAGGGGGACCUUCGGGCCUCUUGCCAUCGGAUGUGCCCAGAUGGGAUUAGCUAGUAGGUGGGGUAAAGGCUCACCUAGGCGACGAUCCCUAGCUGGUCUGAGAGGAUGACCAGCCACACUGGAACUGAGACACGGUCCAGACGCCUACGGGAGGCAGCAGUGGGGAAUAUUGCACAAUGGGCGCAAGCCUGAUGCAGCCAUGCCGCGUGUAUGAAGAAGGCCUUCGGGUUGUAAAGUACUUUCAGCGGGGAGGAAGGGAGUAAAGUUAAUACCUUUGCUCAUUGACGGUACCCGCAGAAGAAGCACCGGCUAACUACGUG